rnacentral:rRNA from 1 species
UACGAAGGGGGCUAGCGUUGCUCGGAAUCACUGGGCGUAAAGCGCACGUAGGCGGACUCUUAAGUCAGGGGUGAAAUCCUGGAGCUCAACUCCAGAACUGCCUUUGAUACUGGGAGCCUUGAGUUCGGGAGAGGUGAGUGGAACUGCGAGUGUAGAGGUGAAAUUCGUAGAUAUUCGCAAGAACACCAGUGGCGAAGGCGGCUCACUGGCCCGAUACUGACGCUGAGGUGCGAAAGCGUGGGGAGCAAACGGG